AUAACAAUACAGGACUCUUUCGAGGUCCUGUAAUUGGAAUGAGUACACUUUAAAUCCUUCAAUGAGGUUCUAUUGGAGGGGGAAAUCUGGUGCAGAGUGACUGACCCGUGCGUGCUGCAGCUGAAACUCCACUAUCGCCAGCUGCUG